AAACACUGGUGCCUAUAGCAACAGCAUGCUUCAGGGGAGGUCCCUUAGUGACUCAAGAAUCCUCUCUGAAAAAAAGGCCAGGAAAUCAUUCACAGCCAAAAAAGCUCUGCUCAUAGCAUGUGGAGUGCGAUGUGUCCUGUCACCACGACCCUCUAACUGCUCCACAUCAUCACCCCAUAAAGACGAGAACGGCAGAGCUCAUUCCAUCUCUGCAGAAGAACAGAAAUGCAGUAGAGACUGUGUUGAAACAAAGACUGAACUGAAAGUAUGGGAUGAAUACACUUUGAUUAAAAGACGAGGGGAGAGAGAAAGAGCGAGGAGCAGUAUACACAGACAGAGAGUCCCGCUGGAUUUAAGCCACCGGCCUUCCACUGUCCCACUGGAGAAUCAGACGGGACGCCGAGCACUAAGCACACCAGAUUUGGAGAAAUGUAGCAAUACAUCACUUGCUCACCAAUGGAUCCUCUGCAGUGAAUGGGUGCCGUCAGAAUGAGAGUCCAAACAGCUGAUAAAAACAUCACAAUAAUCCACAAUGCAUCCACACGACUCCAGUCCAUCAGUUAAUGUCUUGUGAAGUGAAAAGCUGUGUGUUUGUAAGAUGCAAAUCCAUCAUUGAAGCAUUUUAUCUUUAAACCAUCACUUCUGGCCAAAAUACCAGUCCAUAAUUCAUAAUAAUGCUUCCCCCAGUUAAAAAGUCAG
ensembl:lncRNA